GCUGCUUUCGAAGGUGGCCUGCGGAAGGUCAUUA
rnacentral:rRNA from 1 species